rnacentral:rRNA from 1 species
GGGAGGAAAGUAGGGGAUCGCAAGACCUUGCGCUCUUGGAGCGGCCGAUGCCUGAUUAGCUAGUUGGUGAGGUAAAGGCUUACCAAGGCGACGAUCAGUAGCUGGUCUGAGAGGACGACCAGCCACACUGGGACUGAGACACGGCCCAGACUCCUACGGGAGGCAGCAGUGGGGAAUUUUGGUCAAUGGGGGAAACCCUGAUCCAGCCAUGCCGCGUGAGUGAAGAAGGCCUUCGGGUUGUAAAGCUCUUUCAGCCGGAACGAAACGGUCACGGCUAAUACCCGUGACUACUGACGGUACCGGAAGAAGAAGCACCGGCUAACUACGUGCCAGCAGCCGCGGUAAUACGUAGGGUGCAAGCGUUAAUCGGAAUUACUGGGCGUAAAGCGUGCGCAGGCGGUUUUGUAAGUCAGAUGUGAAAUCCCCGGGCUUAACCUGGGAACUGCGUUUGAAACUACAAGGCUAG